rnacentral:rRNA from 1 species
UACGAAGGGUGCAAGCGUUACUCGGAAUUACUGGGCGUAAAGGGUGCGUAGGUGGUCGUUUAAGUCCGUUGUGAAAUCCCUGGGCUCAACCUGGGAAUGGCAGUGGAUACUGGACGGCUAGAAUGCGGUAGAGGGUAGUGGAAUUCCCGGUGUAGCGGUGAAAUGCGUAGAGAUCGGGAGGAACACCAGUGGGCGAAGGCGGCUACCUGGACCAGCACUGACACUGAGGCACGAAAAGCGUGGGGGAGCAAACAGGG